rnacentral:ncRNA from 1 species
AUAAAGUUUUAUUUUAGCUUUAAAAAUUAGUUUAUAAUUUUUAUAUAUGUAAAUUUUAGUGUAGUUUUAAUCUAAAUGAUUAAAUUUUAUUAGCAGUAUAUUAAUUUAUAUAUUAAGUAAUUUUAGAUAUAGAAAUUUAUUUUAAUUUUAACAAAUUUUGUGCCAGCAGUUGCGGUUAUACAAAAAAAGUAAUUAAUUUUGUUUUAGUUUAUAAUUAAAUUAUUUUUUAUAACUUAAAUUUUUAUAUAUUAAGUGAAAUUUUAUAUAAAUAUUAGUUAUUAAUAUUUGAUUGAUUUAUGAAAUUUUUAUAAUAAACUAGGAUUAGAUACCCUAUUAUAAAAAAUGUAAAUUAUUAAAACUAAAUUAGUAAUAGUUAUUUUCUUGAAAAUUAAAAAAUUUGGCGGUAUUUUAGUCUUUUCAGAGGAACCUGUUUUAUAAUUUGAUAAUCCACGAUUUAUUAGACUUAUGUUUUUAAUUUGUAUAUCGUCGUAGUUGAAUAUUUUUAAAGAAAAUAAAUAUUCAAAAUUUAGUUUUAAAAUAAAUCAGAUCAAGAUGCAGUUUAUAUAUAAGUAAUAAUGGGUUACAAUAAAUCUAUUUAAAUGGAAUUAAAUUUGAAAUAAUUUAAUAAAAGUGGAUUUGAAAGUAAUUUUAGUUAAUUUACUAAAAUGAUUUAAGCUCUAAAAUAUGCACAUAUUGCCCGUCGCUCUCAUUUAAAAUUUGAGAUAAGUCGUAACAAAGUAGAUGUACUGGAAAGUGUAUCUAGAAUUAC